UGGGGAAUCUUGGACAAUGGGCGCAAGCCUGAUCCAGCAAUGCCGCGUGGGUGAAGACGGCCUGCGGGUUGUAAAGCCCUUUUCGCCGGGAAGAAGGCCCUGGGUUGAACAGGCUCAGGGGGUGACGUUACCGGCGGAAGAAGCACCGGCCAACUCCGUGCCAGCAGCCGCGGUAACACGUAGGAGGCGAGCGUUAUCCGGAUUCACUGGGCGUAAAGCGCGUGCAGGCGGUUUGGUAAGUUGGGCGUGAAAGCUCCCGGCUCAACUGGGAGAGGUCGUUCAAUACUACCAGACUAGAGAGCAGAAGAGGAAGAUGGAAUUCCCGGUGUAGUGGUGAAAUGCGUAGAUAUCGGGAGGAACACCAGUGGCGAAGGCGAUCUUCUGGUCUGUUUCUGACGCUCAGACGCGACAGCUAGGGUAGUAAACGGGAUUAGAGACCCCGGUAAUCCUAGCCGUAAACGAUGUGAACUUGGCGUUGGUGGCUUAAACACCAUCAGUGCCGAAGCAAACGCGAUAAGUUCACCGCCUGGGGACUACGGCCGCAAGGUUA
rnacentral:rRNA from 1 species